GAUGAACGCUAGCGGCAGGCCUAAUACAUGCAAGUCGAGGGGGAGAGAAGAGCUUGCUUUUCUUGAGACCGGCGCACGGGUGCGUAACGCGUAUGCAACCUACCUUUAUCAGGGGGAUAGCCUCUCGAAAGAGAGAUUAACACCGCAUAAAAACACAGUACGGCAUCGUACAAUGUUCAAAUAUUUAUAGGGUAAAGAUGGGCAUGCGUGACAUUAGCUAGUUGGUGAGGUAAGGGCUCACCAAGGCGACGAUGUCUAGGGGAUCUGAGAGGAUGCCCCCCCACACUGGUACUGAGACACGGACCAGACUCCUACGGGAGGCAGCAGUAAGGAAUAUUGGUCAAUGGGGGCAACCCUGAACCAGCCAUGCCGCGUGCAGGAAGACGGCCCUACGGGUUGUAAACUGCUUUUAUACGGGAAUAAACCCCUUUACGUGUAAAGGGUUGAAUGUACUGUAAGAAUAAGGAUCGGCUAACUCCGUGCCAGCAGCCGCAGUAACAC
rnacentral:rRNA from 1 species